GACGAACGCUGGCGGCGUGCUUAACACAUGCAAGUCGAACGGAAAGGCCCUGCUUUUGUGGGGUGCUCGAGUGGCGAACGGGUGAGUAACACGUGAGUAACCUGCCCUUGACUUUGGGAUAACUUCAGGAAACUGGGGCUAAUACCGGAUAGGAGCUCCUGCUGCAUGGUGGGGGUUGGAAAGUUUCGGCGGUUGGGGAUGGACUCGCGGCUUAUCAGCUUGUUGGUGGGGUAGUGGCUUACCAAGGCUUUGACGGGUAGCCGGCCUGGGAGGGUGACCGGCCACAUUGGGACUGAGAGACGGCGCAGAAUCCUACGGGAGGCAGCAGUGGGGAGUAUUGCACAAUGGGGGGAAGCCUGAGGCAGAGACGCCGCGUGCGGGAUAACGGCCUUCGGGUUAUAAACAGCUUUCGAAUGUGACGAAGCGUGAGUGACGGUAAUGGGUAAAGAAGCACCGGCUAACUACGUG
rnacentral:rRNA from 1 species